rnacentral:lncRNA from 1 species
CUGUCUUGUUAGAUUAAUCCAAUAAAUUUCAUUCACUCCGCAUACUCAAUCCUAUAGACACCCUUUUAAUUCUUCAAUCACAAACGUAACUCGAUUUCACAAAACAAUCAAGAGUAAUCAAACCCACUUCAUUAAAAAAAUCCUGAUUCACCAUUACAACACUGACUUCAGCAACGAUUGCCUAGGUCUUCCCAAAACUCUAUGAAGAAAAAAAAUCCAAUUCUUCGUCUUUUCUUCCCCGAUCCGAAGCAUGAAGCUCCUCUCCAAACCCCUUGACCUUCAAAAACCUUCAAUGAAACCAAACUAGUAACCUUGAAAAGAGCUUGAAGCUAGCUCCUCGAUCAAAAAAAAACCCCCUCAAAACUUAUUCUCCCCCUAAUCUUAUCCUCUGAAUUUCUUCAAACUUCCGUCUUGGAUCCAGAAUUGGCUCCCAUCGUCAGAGCUUAGAUCUGAAAUUGGCUCCCGCCGUCAGAGCUUUCUCCUCCGUUUUUACCUUUAAGAGAUCUAUUUAUCGAAAACAACCUUCCUUGAAACGGCACAGAGAAUAGGACAGCCUAAAACAGAAUCGAAACCCCGUAGUCGGGUCCACAUUGAGUCGCCCGACCAAUUCAGGUCUCAUAUUGGAUAAGAGUCCAUUACUAAGAUCCGGAUUUUUCCGUAAUUAGACUGCAUUGGGUUGUCCGACCAAUACAGGUCUCAUAUUGGGUACGAUGCCCAUAGUAACCUGGAUGUUCCCGUAAUUAGACUGCAUUGGGUUGCCCGACCAAUGCAGGUCUCAUAUUAGGUAAGAUGCCCAUAGUAACCUGGAUGUUCCCGUAACUAGACUGCAUUAGGUUGCCCGACCAAUGCAGGUUUCAUAUUGGGUAAGAGGACCCGGAUUGGAUUCUUGAAAUAGGAUCCAAUUGGCUCUUCAAACCAAGCUCACCCGUCAUGUGAAUUGGUCCUUUUUCUUCUUGCUGACUCCCAUUAUUGGAAUCAAAUGGAGCAUUUCAGUAUGCCCCGGCUGACUAUAACGGGGUGACUGACCCUGGCCACUCAGUAUUUGCACUGGAGUUGGUAGUUGCUCCCAAUAUUCGAGGUAACUGAACAUUAAUAAAAGUCCUCUUUCUUUAUAUUUCCACGGUAUACUCGUGUUACAACACAACAUCCACCCCCUCUGAACCUGUGCAUCCUCUGGUAUGUACCAAUUUACCCAAUUGCUAUUUGAUUCAGAAUAUAUCCUCUACGUCUUUGUCUUGUUCGUCUUCGUCACCUUCAUUAUCCAAAUCACUUUCAUCUUCUUGCUGCGGAAUGUCUAUACCUUCAUUAAGGUCUUCCAUAUUUAUUUCCGCGUGUCUUCGUUUAAAUAUUUUUACUCGCUUUUCUGCAAUUGGUAUUUUCAAUUUGGACCAUCUAACUCCCAUAACCAGUAAGUCGCAUUAUCAUGAACUGUUGUUACCACAUAUGGUCCAAACCAACGUUUGGAAAAUUUCCGCAAAGUACUAUGUUGAUUAUCCAGACUAUUGUCAUAAACAAGUACCCAGUCACCUUCCUCGAUUGCUUUUGGUCUCAAUCAAUGUUGCUUAUCGAAUCGCGCCUUAUUUUGUAACCUUGCUCUUUUUAACCUUCCCAAUGCUAUCUGGACAUCUUCCAUUCUUUGUUCCAAUUGUCAAAUCCUAAUAGCCAGAAGUUCUUCUCUUGUCAAUCCAUCUUCCCAUGGUAGCAUACUCCAAGUAAGUACCUUUUCUUCAAUCGGCAUAAUUGGUUUUUGACCUGUCAUAAGUUCUACUGGCAUAUAUCCUGUCACCGAACUAUGUGUUGUUCGAUCAGCCCAUAAUGCAAAUGACAAAAGCCAUGGCCACUCUUUAACCUUCCCAUUACAAGCUUUAACCAAUGCUUUCACAAUCGGUGGGUGACCGCGUUCGCUUUUUGCAUUCCUUUCUGGAUUAUAAGUAGUAGUCAGUGAUAGUUUAACUCCACAUCUUUCAAAGAACUUACGAGCUUCUUGUGCAUUUAAUUCUCCACGAUCUGCAGUGAUUUUUCCUAUGCAUCCGUAGCAGCAAAUGACAUCUUCAAGAAAAAACCUACAAAUCCCCUCUGUAGAUUUUGUCCUCAAUGCUCUUCCUUCUACUUGAUUUGAUAAAUCUUCACGAGCUAAAACCAAAUAUCUCAUCUGCUAUAACCCAACCGGCAUAAUAACCAAAUCAACAACCCAUUUAAAAUGAAUAGCCAGAGGAUACGUAAGAUGAAGACCAUCUCGAUGUCGGAUAUUAGAAUACGAUUGACAGAUUUCACAUGACUCUACAAAUGAGAGCACAUCUCGAUACAUAUUUUUCCAUCAAUAUCGUUCCUUGAGUUUAACAAAAGUAGCCUAGAUUCCUCUAUGCCCUGCCCAUAAACUAUCAUGAAACUCCUUUAAUAAUUUUAGUCUUUCUUCUUUUUUGCAUAUCACUCGUUGUGGCAUCCCAAUUCCUUUCUUCGGACUCUUCCAUAAGAAUCCAUCUCGAAGUAAAAAUCCAUAUGCUUUUUUUCUUAUUUGUUUGAAUUUUUUUGUAGACCAAUUCCCCUGCUUAGUCAAGGUAUUCAAGUAAUGACCAAUAUCCAAUAAUUCUCCUUCAUAAGAUUCUUCAAGAAAUAGCUUGUCUUCUCUAUUGAAAUUUGAUAUUGAAUAAAAUUUCAAUCCGACGUCAUCAAUGUCUUCAACCAUUUCGUCUUCCCUCUCGUAUCUUGCUCGAGAUAGCAUGUCUGCUACUAAAUUGUCCUUCCCAGUAAUAUGCUUAAAUUUUGGAUUUAGUGACUUAAUAUAAGCAAUCCAUCUCAACAUUGCAAUAUCUGGCGUUGAACAGUUAAUAAUCAUUCCAAGCAAUGGCAAGCAAUCUGUUUCAAUUACUACUACUGUCCCAAUCAAAUAGUGCUUUUCAGCUUUCAUAGCCGAAACGACUCCCCAAAGUUCUCUUUUGACUUGCGAAUAUGCACGCUGACGAAUACUUAAAACUUUAGCCUCAAACCGAACUGCAAAUCUAUUCCCACUGGAAUCAUCUUGACCCACAGCCCAUCCAAUGGCAAUUGGACUAGCGUCCACAAUAAGAAUCACUGGUCUAUUGCACUUAUAAUCAACCUUCCUCAAUAUUAGAGGUGACGUCAAUAAUUUCUUCAAUCUUUGCAUUGCCUGAAUAUGCCUUUCUUUCCAUUUAAAUCGGUAACCCUUGCGUAGCAGUUCAUAUAAUGGAUCCGCUAUGUGAGCAAAAUGAGGGAUCCAGAUUCGAUAAAAUACACAUGCAUCCAAAAACCUGCAAACCUUUGUUAAAGAAUCACAAUCCUCUUUCAUCCUUCCAAUUGCAUCAACUUUAGUCCGAUCUGGUUUUCUUCCGUAAGAUCCACAUAAAUGUCCAACAAUUACAACCUCUCGCACUCCAAAUAUGGACUUCAUAUCCGAUAAUGUUAGAUGAACUUCUCCAAGCCGAGUUAAAAUCUUUUCAUAAUCUUGUAUAUGAUCAACAAUAUAUUUACGACACCCCUUCGUAUCUAAAGUUUCAUCCUUGUCUCCUUCUCUACACCCUUUUAUAGGAACAUCAUCCAGAAAAGGCAUAGUCUUUUCCGGAAUAAAAUCUCUCAAUACCUUAUUCAUCCCAUUCAUCAUAUGCGCAAUUGAAUUGGUCGCGCCUUGAGGAAGAGUGCACAUUCUAACCAAUCCAAGUGGUGUUCUCAUUGUUGUCAUAUCUCUACUUUCUUCGGCAAGUUGAAAUUGAUCACAACCUGAAUACAAGUCACCCAUUGAAUAGAUCGCCCUUCCAGCAAACGCCUCAGCAAAUUCAUCCACAAUAGGUCCAAUUUCUGCAUUCCUGACAGUUACUACAUUCACCGGUUGUAUAUCUUGAAUAAACCAUAGUGAUCCAUUCUUCUUAGGUACCGUAAACCAUCGACUAGAAUACGGCGCAAAUGAAGGUUCCAAUAUUUUCAUCUUUAUCUUUUCUUUCAAUAGUUCCACCAAUUUAGGUAAAUGUGCCCUCGGUACUAGAAUUGGUCUUAGAUUCCAAGGUACAUGCGGUACAGUGAAGAUAACCAUAGCUGUUAUAAUAUUUGAAUCCACACACCCAAUUUCAUGAGAUUCGAAGGCAAACGAUCUACCUUGUUUAGCCAACAUCUUUUUGAAGCAAGUAAUUUCCUCCGGCAACAAAGAACCAUCAGAACCAAUCUUCAAUUCUUCAAAAGACUCUUUAGUAAACUGAUGUCCAAUACUCAUUGGAUCUCUUAAAUUUGCUUCUUUUGAUGCUUCUCCCAUUUUUUCUUUAGAAUCUUCUGGUAAUGGUCCGGGAACAGGCUUAACCUUCUUAUCUGCCGUUUUAUAUCUCGUCUCUAUAGUGACUUCUGGUGCUUGAAAAGAUUCAAGUAUGGUAUAAACCUCUCUUGAAUGAAUCUCAACAAUCUUAUUAUUAUCUCCUAACCCAAUAGAUGUAAUCAAUUCCAAUGAAUCUUCUAGCCCAUUUUCUUCAUAAACACCCAAAAUCCUAUCAUCAUCUUGCAAUGUACCUAUCUUGCGUAACUGUCCUUCAAUAUCAUAUAAUCUUUUUCUUUCUUUUCUUUUAAAAUCUUCAACUUUCUUAUACAUAAUAUUUCCAUUCUCCAAUAUACCAAUAAAACUCGCAUCAAAGGCACCUUCAUCUCGCAAGAGUACCUCCUCUUUUGUACCUCUAUAAUCUCGCUUUACAGUGGUACCUCCCCAAAAUCCUUAAAUCCUUCAACAAUCUUUGGUAAUGGUUUCUCCCUCAACCUAUCUCGAUUCCGUUCAUGGUUAGGAGGUACUGUUAGAAAUUGUACAGCUUUCCUCCCAUCUUCGCUCCGUAUCCUUGUAUAAGCAGAACCAUCGUCAAGUACCUUUGUUUCUAUCCGUGUUGCCGUGAUAUAAGGUUGUCCUAAAAUCAACGGAUAAGACGUUGUAUCUUGAACAAAGAAAUGUUGCUCCGUCGCAACAUCCCCAAUCCGAAUUUUGACAUCUGGACAAGCUCCAUAUAAUUUGCCCCGUGUGUUAUUAGCUGCUCAUAUUGCCCAUCCAUGUUCCAUAUCAAUAGGCCAUUUUUGCUUCUUAUAAAGAUCUUUAGACAUGAGAUUUAUUUCAGAACCAUGGUCGACUAAAGCAACUAUUGGUUCUUCUAUAUCUCCUACUUUCACCAAUAUCUUAGUAGUUGCCCUUGUCCAAUGCUUUCGAAUAUAAUGGCUCAAAGUUUCCAUUUCCUUGUCACUAUAAUCUUCUAAACUUGCUCGUUGAUUAUACCCAAUCUUUUCAUUUGUUGGUUGCUUGUAACCAAUACAAACCUCUUCUUCAUCUCUAUAUAUUCUUGCAUCAAUAGCAUGACUCAUUCCAGUUUCGUCCAUUAAUUGUCUCUUUCGCUUAAUGCUAUCAAUGAUGACAUCAUGAAACUCCUUCUUUGCUAUUUCCAAGACUUCUUUUAAUGUGAACUCCACCUUAGCGUUUAAUAUACGUUCUUCCAACACCCCUUUCAAAUUUGAUGCCGCUUCAAUGUCAGAAAGUAGCUUAUAAGCAAUUGAUUUGCCCUUAUCUCUUGUCUCCUUUGUUUUUUCUCCUUAUAAUGCUGAGGUAUCUUUUACAGGCAAUUCUUGUGAAGCUGCCUCCCGAGCCUUGUCUCCUCGAGUUUGCCUCUUAGAAGAAUUUCCUUCUCUAGUAUCAUCAAAAUUUCCUCGUCUCUUUUCUUCCAUCAAAGCUUCAUAUUGGCUCUUAGCAAUAUAUGCAUGAACUGAAAGAGACUCAACAAGAUCCUGUCAACCUGUUCUACCUCGUAUUGUAGUUGUAGUCCUCAAUAACGCUUCUCGAGGUAAUUUCCCUUCUUGCAUUGUAGAAAUGGCAGAAGCCCAAAACUCACUAGUUUCCGUACUUCCACCAAUUUCAUCAUCUACUCUAGCACCAUAACUUGCACUUUCUCAUGCUGCUGUUUCAUGCUCUUUUAGGUAAUCUUGAACCAAUGCUUUCAUUCCUCCCUUGCCAAAAUUGGUUUGAAGAAGAUCCUCUCUAUUUUUCAAUGCUAUCUUCUCAUCUUUUCAGCAAAUAAUUCCCUGCCGUAUCAUAUUAUUAAAUUCAUUGCAAUCUUUUCUAGUGUAUGAAGCAUCAUCACACCAAAUGCAUCUUUGUACAUAUCCUUGUUUUGAAACAUUCUUCGAAUUGUUUAUGGAAGUAUUCUCUUCAAGUCUUGCCAAUUUAAUUUGAAGAUCUCGCAUUUCUCGUAUAAUUUCUUCCAUUUCCAUAUCUGCUUUCUUUAAUAAGGAUGUCGAAGGUUGAACUGUAGGCAUUGUUGGUGGUGUUGUACGUUGUCGUAUUACGUGCUUUCCUGCUCGAGAACGCGCCGGGCGUCUGGCUGUAGAAGGUAGUAUGGAGAUUCGCCGAUAGUCAAGCAGUCUAUCAGUUUUUGACUGCUGGAAUAUAAACGACUGCAACAAUGUACCGUAAAUCUAUACGGGUGCUCUUCAACUGCUUGUCGAAGUCCUUUUUGCCCUAGCCGGUAGGUCUCUAGACGUUAUAGAGAAUCCCGUACAACCCAAAUUGUUAACCGUCAAUACUGCCUUGGUAUUUACGAUCUUGUAUCCACUGACUGUCUUGUUAGAUUAACCCAAUAAAUUUCAUUCACUCCGCAUACUCAAUCCUAUGGACACCCUUGUAAUCCUUCAAUCUCAGACGUAACUCGAUUUUCACAAAACAGUCAAGAGUAUUCAAACCCACUUCAUUUAAAAAUCCCGAUUCACCAUUACAACACUGACUUCAGCAGCGAUUGCCUCAGUCUUCCCCAAAACUCUACAAAGAAGAAAAAUCCAAAUUCUAUGUCUUUCCUUCC